UCCCACCUUCACAAGAUCCAAAUAAUAGAGCUUCAGUUUUUAUUUUCCUUUUCUUUUUGCGAGGACAAAAGCUCGCGCUCUUGACCAAAGCAGCCUAUAAAAGUAUACCCUGGCAGAGAGACCAUACGUGAACGCUGAACAGAAGCUACAGAACAUGGCUAUCAUCAAGCUUGCCCUUCCGGUGGCUCUCCUGCUGUGUGUGCAGGUCUCAUGGUGCCAAGCCGGGGAGGAUGUGCGCCAUGUACUGCCUGGAUGCGAAGUACAUGACGUGCCCGCCCAAGGAUACCGAGCAGCUGCCGCCUGCGUGUAACUGCUGCGUCGCCGAGAAGAGAGGCUGCACCAUCUACCUGAGCAACGGGGAGUGGAGAAAUGCCCAUGAAGUGAAGUCCAUCUUGUAAGAAGAGCCUGAUCGUGAAUCCAUCUUGUAUGGUCAAAAGUGAGAUAGAUCUUGCUGUCGAAUAAACAACAUUUCAGUUGUAUUU